rnacentral:lncRNA from 1 species
UGCAUAAGGAGUAUACAAAUAAUGGUAGUUUUCUUCUCCUCCCUUCCCUACUUUCCUGAGAGAACUGAAGUUUGAGAGUAGAAGGCAUGCCCUUAGGUGGGAACAAGGUGAUUAUCUUGGAUCAGUAGAAGUUUCUACCUAAGUUCUCAGGAUUAACACCAGUGAAAAAUGGAGGAUAGCUCUUGUAGAUGUUGCUGGUGAAAGCAGAACAUCAGAGCUACCUCUCAGAAAACAGAUUGGGACAACGGUGGAUACUAUGAAGAGAUCCUGAAUUAAAGCAUACCUGGCUGAAAUAUAUAGCGAGAUGCAAUUAGGGGCCAUUAAGCUGAGCAUCUCUACUUGUGAUGCAGUUGUGAUGAUGUUUUAAGUCAGCCUCUGCAGCAUAAUUAAAUUCACUAACUAGAUCAAGAUGUUAUAAGGGUGAUAAUUCAAUCACUCAGAAGUUAGAAAAUACCAGCAUUUAUGUUUUAUCUGUGAUCCAAAGUGUUUAUUAUGCAAGUCUCCUAUUACUUUCUUUUAAAUAUAUUUUAAUAUCCCCUUCAUAAAACAAAGUCUAGAUCCAAAAGCAGGGCUUGGAGGCUAGGUGUGGGGCUGAAAUCCUCUUUGUGACUAUCCUAGCUUAUAAGGAUAUGUAUGAUUAGUGAGAACUUGCUCAAGCCCGUGAGUUCACAGCACUGUUAACACUCUGAUACCUGAAAGGAAAGCCACCUUUCUGCUGCUUCACUCUUAAAAUAACCUCAUUUUUUUUUUCUGUAGAACUGGUCUAUCUUGUUAAAAAAAAAUCAGCUCCUGCCUUGUGAUUUCUCUAUUCAUGGACCCUCACCUGGAAUUUUCCCUCUGCCUUUGUCACAGAGCUAUCUAGAUCCAUCUAGAUCAAUAUGUGUCAGGGGGCAGCAGGCCUGCAGGCCCCCCCAGCCCAAAAAAAUGGGAAGGAAAAAGGGGAAAGAUAGGGAGGUGGGAGCUGGGCCCAAAAACAGAACAGUGGCAACGAUCUGAGGAGGAAAGUUAAUUUUACUAACUAUGAUAUCGGAAUGCAGGAUAAAACAAUAUAAUACAAUAUAAUUGGAAUUGAAGCUAAUAAAUCAAAUAAAAUGAGAGAGAGUGUCUGAAACCCAAAGCCUUACUUUGAAUUGAAGGCGCACAGCUGGGGAGCACCCCCACACACUGCCAGGCAGCAAGAGAGAGAGAGAAAUCCUGUGACUUCUUCCCGUGACUUAACAUCCUCUCUGAACGUGAAGUCUUCUGGGACAUGUAGUUCUUUUUUCUCUUCUGAGAACCAGGUAUAUGGAAAGUUGUCAGUCCACUGAACUGGAGUAUUAACUCUUUAAUUCCACAUGCUUUACAUAAUGUUAUGAUGUGGAAUACCGAUAGCAAAAUUAUAAAAGCAUCACAGCCUUUAUGCACACUGACAUCCUUCAUUGCAAGUGGACUUCACAGCCAUCAUUUACCACCGGGAUUUUGAGAAAUUUUGUUGCUGCCUAACAAAAGGAUAGAGAUGAGGAGAGGACACCCCAUGGUGUACAGAGCCUGGGGCCUGGGCUUGCCCAGUGUGGAAAGUGCAGAAGGGCAUCCACCAGGAUAUCAAGACAGUGGCUAUGUGCAUGGUGUUCAGAAGAAAAUAAUUGCAGAUUACUACUGCUGAAUCCACAAAGGUUAUGUCUACACAGCGAUCUGAGAUGUAAUUGUUGCAUAUGUUGGCAUAUUCGAGCAGGCUUAACCUCACUAAUUCAAUUACAGUAGCAAGCUCAAGCAAUUCAGUAACACUACAAGCUCAAUCUCAGAAGCAACAACAGUGAAAUUAUAACCAAGGAGCCUUCAUCUCUAUGAAGUUACCUGGGCAGCCAAGGUCUCAGAUGACUCAGACACCCUGAAGAUAUAAUGUGCAUUGUUGUCAUCAUACCUGUCAACAAAAGUAAAGCUAUCUCAUUUGUCUGGUACAGUCCAUUCCUUGAAUUUUGUCACAGAUAUAAGUAGCAGCAUGCUUUAAGAGUAUAAUAUAUCUAUUUGUCUGUCCCUGGCUAUAUCAUAGUCACAAAUCAAAUGUGAGCAUUGAUAAUCAAUUAGACAAAUUAUGAUUUAAUUUCCUCAGGCACAGCUGUGCCCAACCUAAAUAAGAUACAACUAUGUGAGAAACAUGAGGAUUCUGUAUUAUUACUUCAUCAAGAUCACUAGAGCUAACCAGAAUGAGGUUAUUCUCUCUGAAUUAAAACAAAAAUAAGUUAAAAAUAUUCACUUGCAAGUAGAAAAAAUGUCCAAACCCAUGAAAACUCAAUAUUUCCCUGGAGAGAAAAUGUGCUGUAUUUUUUUAAAUAAAUCCGUCUGAGUAUCCUGCUCCUAGACAGCAGGGGUACAAAGUAAGGAUGUUUUUUUCAUUUCAGAAAAUAGAGGCAGACCACUGAAUUACUCAGACUCAUUCAGCUCCUCAGCAUUCAUUAAGCUGCAAAUGUUGAGGUUCAGAGAACUCAGCAGUCACCUUGUAGUCUAGGAUGUAUAAUUGCUCUAUCCAAUUUUAUUUGCCCUGCUUAAUGCAGUAUGUCAAUUCAUGACAUAUUGAUUCAACUUAUGGAAGUAAUUUUUUUUUUCCAGUUCAUUUAAAUUAUAGUUUAGACUGAACAUGCUUGAAGAUGUCUAUAAAUUAUGUCGGCUUUCAAUGAGACUACGUUCAAAAAUACAAUUCAAAUAAAAAGUGCUAACCAAUUUUGUUUAAUUAUUGAUUUAAGCCUACCCUGUUUCUGGAAAAUGUAAUUACCAAAGUUGAAUUUGGCCAGAUCCACAGAUGAUUAUAUGGAUUCAAGUAUUAAUAGAAGGAACUCUCCUAGAUCAAUGAUGGAAAUGUACUCUUCAGCAGUGGCUGCAAAGAAGUCCAGUAGUGAUUCAGAGUAUUUGUCCUUCUAACCAUCCCCCAAAGGACAGAAAGCAUCACACUUUCUGGACCCUUUCCAACAUGGUAUCUCAUUGAAACACUGACUGGAGUGAUGCUCUUCGAGUGAAGAAGGAUCAAUUUGGAUUUCAAGCUGAAAUGAAUGUCUGCAUAUGCGCAUGCUUAUAAAUACAUUUUAUACCUUCCCAGCUUCACUCUUCUCAUCUUUUCCUAUUCAGGACAGCAUGAAAUGAAACAGGAAAGGAAGGUUCUUCUAAGGAGGCUUUCACAGUACAGUCACUCCUGGAAGGUUCUCCACCAGCCUCAAACUUGUGAAGCAGAGGAUGAAGUCCCAGACACUGGCAUCAGAAAGAAAAGCCUCUUGGCUGAAGAGCACAAUGGUGGAGUAGAAGCAAGAGGACAUCCUCUGGUCAUGCGGGAAGCUCUCAUGUCUACACAGCCUGAAUCCUCACCAUGAAAAGCUUUGAGGAGAAAGGGAGAGACUGGGGCAGAGAAAAAUGGACACAGCCUCCCAUGAGUACAGCAAAUGCCUCCACAGACUCUUUCAAAGCUCCAUAUUCACUGAUAUACACUCAGCGUCCCUCUUUUGUAUGACCUCUUGAAGUUAUCCCCACUUUGAUUUUCCGUGAUCAUAACCCAAACUUUUCCUUCUUUCUUUCUUUUUUUUUUUUUUUGUUGUUUUGUUUUGGUUUUGUUUUGUUUUUGGUUUCUUUGUGGAGUGAAAAGGAGGCUGACCUUCUUAAAACAGAGGAACAUUUCAGAGUUAUCCAACACAUGAAAUUAUACUUCCAAAAAUCAGAGAUGUUCUCCAGUACUCAUUAAAGCUAGCCAGAAAUGGAACUAAUAUAAACCUUGGCCAUUCUCCCAGCUGAGUGCCCUAAUAAUAGAAAUGCCCCUCUGACUGAGUAGCUGAUACUGGGGUUCUGCCAAGUCAUUUCCAUUAAAAAGAGCCAUUGGUGACAGACGUCCAGUACAAUAUCAUUGGUGGAGUCCUGCUUGUCUUUCUUAGUGCACCACUGGCAUGAGCAAGAAAAAGUCCAUUUUCCAUGUCCUGUUUUCAGUUCUCUUUCUGUAAUUAGCACUUUCCUGAUGUCUCUGCUCUUCAUGAGGUCUCUCCAAAGCCUGCUUCUCUUUACUUUCUGGUUAUGGUAUGUGCACAAACGCUACAAAUAAAUUCACCCUCUCACCCUUGCAGCAGCUUGUAGAAAGCCUUCCAAGCCAAUGUAACUGAGUUGGGGAGCAGUGCUGUGUGCAACCCAUUGCUGGUGGGUCAAUUUUUUCUAUCUCUAUUAUUUUACAAGGGUCACUUCUUCCAUCUAGCCUGAAGGAAGAAUUGCUAGUGAAAUUGAGGGAAGCUAUUAAACCUAUCAGGUUGCAGUGGCUAGAGAUGAGAGAUAUGCACAAAGAGGCCACAAAAGCCACUGUUGCUUGGCCAUAUGGCCAUUUAGCCACUGUUAGAAAACACCACUGUAAAGGCUCCAGAAACAUCUAAAAAGUGAUUUGCACAAGCUAUGAUAACAGUAUUCAAACAGCUGUAAUGUAUCUCAUCUUGAACUACUCCAAGGACCAACACUGUUUGCAUCUUAAUCUAGAUACUCUUGGACCUGUCCUUUUCUACAAGGCAAGAUUUCUUGUUCUUCAUAGGACACCUACGAAGUUGGGUGGCUUUUCCAGGCAUUGGUGUCAUAGGAAAUCUCCUUGGCCAUGUCUGGGGUUUUUGGAACCUGUCUGUGUCAUUGUGGCUCCUUUGCCAGCAAAAAGUGCAGGGAAAGGCUGAAGAGCUCAUCAUUCAUCUUUUUCCUUCUGUCUUAUAAAUAUUAGCUCAGAUUUUAACUUGCAGAAGAGAAGUACCUCAAUAGUUCUCCCAAUCACAUUUUAUGCCAGACUCUUCUGAUAUGACCUUAUCAGAGAUCACUGGGCAGAAUGCCUGCUUAACAAAACUCACUGCAGAUACAUCUGAGUGCUGCCAUUUGCAGGAUACCAGAUCCAUGCCUCGGCUGUUUCAGAUGACAUACAUAUUUAAUCCGUGGCAGUAUAUUAGCAGAUCAGACUUAGAUUAAUCAGGCUGAAGGUAACUUUUGGAUCUUUUCCACAAUUAGGUCAGAGAUAAAUAUGGUAGAUUGUUAUGUGCCACAACACAAGCAAGCACUGGGCAGCAGGUGAAAUUGUCAGGGACAUCAGCCAAAGAGAUACUGUGAUGAGAUUAAGGGAAGUGAAGUCAAUAGCAUCUUUGUGUAUCUUCAUGUGUGUGCACAGAUGUGAUUUGAGCUUUUCAAUUUAAAGAAGCCGCUAAUUAACACUGAAUUUUUCUCUGCUGUUAUAGCAGUGAACGUACAAAUGUGCUUUAUGCUAAAAUAUCCUUUUCUAUUUCCUUAGUGUUGUAAAAUAGGUCCUGCCCACUGAUACUGAUAGAGAAAGCUGGAGCUAGAAUAGCAACACAGCUGUUCAAAACCAAGGGGAAGUCCUUAUUUUUGAGGCUCAGUAAUGAUUGAAAUACAGUCAGCAAACAAAAGGGAAUUAGUACCUUUAAAAUGCAUUUAGGGUGUCCAAUAUAAAAUGUGACAGUGGAUAUUUGUGGGACAAUUUUCUGCAAAUUAAAAAUUGAGCUAAGGGUAAUAAAUCAAAGGAAAUAUUUAAAAGCUCUCUAGCCUUUACCAGUACCCCUUGGAAAGGGCUUCUAAAGUACUAUUCUACACACACAUUCUGAUGAGAGAAAAUUUUGAUUAAAAUAUUAAAAUGUUUUUGGGAUUUUUUUCAUUUUUAUGCUCACUUAUUGCACUUGUAACACCAGGAGGGCAAGUGGUGAUACCUUCAUUACAGUAAUUCAAGGAAAAGAAGUCAGUGGACUCCAAAGUGAAAAGCAAAUGUGCUGUAACAGUGGAAAGCUAAGAUGCAGCUGAGAUCUUGCCCACAGUGAAGCUUCCUAAAGGAUUCUUCACCUUCAAACUGCAAUGGUUAGGAUUACAUCAGUACAGAGGUCAGUACAGUACAAAAGUUUUUACUUGAGUUGCAAUAAGAAAAAGAAAAAAAGAGAGAGAGAGAUGUAUAUAUACGUACACAUAUUUUUUCUUUGUUUCUUUCAUGGGUUAGUGGAAAAUUCUGAUAUUCUUCCAAGCAGGGGACAUGCUUUCAGGGUCCUAUAGCAUUGCAUGUGAUACACAUGAAAGGGGAACUCAGCUUCCCUGUGGCAGGUAGCUCUUCCAGAUAAUAGCUUUUUUAAGCUAAUGCCUUGGUAAUAGCCCAUCUCCUUAACCAUCCUCUGAAGAGUAUCAUUGGCAAGUACAAUUAGGUCCCACACUUCUCUCAGAAGAUGGAUCCCACUAGCUUAUUACAGGAAAAAUAUACUCACUCUCCUUUUUCAAAGGUUAACUAGCUCAUCACAGAUAUUUAUCAAUUCUGUUCUUGUUGGCCUCUCCCAAAAGCAGCAAUCCAUGUCUGUCCUUCAUACUUCAAGCAAUGGUCUAGAGGACACCUUUCUCCACACAGUGGCAGUCUUCUUACAGACUCUCAAACCUCUUCACACCAUUUCUGGCUGCCAAUGCAGAGAGAGGAGGUAGUAGUGUCUCCAAUGUGAAAUAAAUGUCUAGUGCUCACAUUCUCUCAGUGGAAAAUGCUUGCUAGAGGCUCAGUCUGGCUCUACAUGCAACAUUCUUAUUUGGAGCUUGCGUCCUAUCAGGCAUUUUGCAGUAGGAUCUUCAAUUUUAUUAGCAGGACUGUACCCAGGAGACAAGAGCGAAAUUAUUCUGUAAAUAUGUAUUUUAGAAUUGAUUCUUCUUUGAUGAGUUUUCGUCCUUCCCAUUAGUCUUAUCUGGAGGGGAUUCUGCUCCUGGCCCCACCACUGCUUUGCUUUUGGCUGUUUCUUGGCCGUUUCUUGGCCAUUUCUCAUCCCUGAGAGUGACCUUUCUCCCAUUCCCCUUGACAGGUCUUGCUCAAGGAUGCUGUGCUGAGUUGUUGUGUACACUGACUGGGUCUUUUCCCAACCUGCUCCUUGACAGCACUCUGGAGCUCCCCACUGAACACCUGGCGGUGGGAUAGGCUGUGUGUGCUGGUAAAAUUAUCUUUGAGCUGUCACCUACAGCAUGCUUAGAUUCAGAAUAUGCUGCAAGCCUCAGAGGCCUUCUGAAUGGCAUAUCCUAGGUUUGGUCCUCAGGAGCACCAUGAAAAUCACCCUUGUACGUGUGGCCCUCCUCCCACACCAAACAUUAGUGGUGCCUCCUCCUUUCUCUGCUCUCACUGCCCCACUCUGGAGCCACGGUGUUCUGCGUAAUGACCAUUAAAGUUGUUUUUCUAGGGCAUAUCCAGAUUGCUCUGGAUUGCUCCGUCUCAGGGGCCGUGCAAGGCAGACAAAGGGCACUUGAAGCUCAAAGAAGGGAAUUUCCCAGGACCAAAAGUGCAAAGAUGGCAUUGAUUCUGCUACAGUGUUGUGAAGAUUAGCAUUCUGAGUCACCUGGGGGAAAAUGAAUCCAUUUUCCCUGGUUCCAUUCUAAUUCAUUUGCCAAAGAAAAGGCAAAACAGAAAUCUGUGGAACUUUCACCUUUGUGUCAAUGCACUGUCACUAAGAGCUACUAAAGAACAUAUUCCCCCUCCGGGCCCUCUGAGGUCACAUAGUUUUUCACAGAUAGCGGAAAGAGGAGCAAUGGCUCCAGCUGCCACCAUCCUAGCACUUUGCUAAAAGUCAGAUUCAGACUUUUUAGUUAGCUGAAAAGGCUGUGGUUUUGAAUCAGUUAUAUAGCUGUUCAGAUGACUAGAGAGCAUUUUAUAUUAUUUGUAUCAGUAAAAAUGUAGUGUUUAGCACAAGUAAAAUGCUGUCAGGAUCCCCAGAAUUAACUUCUUUUUCAUUAAUACUGCCUCACAGGCUUUCUCCAUAGCAAGAACAUUAAUUGAGCACUUUCGUUUCAGUGGGAACUCACAGAACUGAACGCAUGCUUUUCACAAAGUCAGUUUUCUUAAUUAUUAUUUGAGAUGCUUGUUUUGACUCAAAUUUCUAUUCUUCCUUAGAGGAUGCUGAAGAGAACUAAUCCACUCUGAAUAUUUUCCCUCCCAGAUUAUUUCUGCUACUUAGCAUUGGAAACUUAUCCUUCAUCAGGGACUGAUCUGGAAGCUGGUGAAGUCAGUGAAGCCCUUUUUAUAAUUUUUUUUCUUCUGAUUUCCAUGAGCACUGCAUUGGAAUUAGAAGCAAACUGGCUAUAUAAGUUUGUCUGGAACUGGUGAAACUGCUCUUGUUCUGCAGCUUAGCCCUAAAUGUGAUGACAUUUCACAUUUUCCAUGCAAAAGUAGGAGAAGUAUCUUCAAAUUGCAUAAAUAUCUUCCUUUUCUCUUCCUGUCAAGCCAGAGAAGAUUAAUUUUUAAAGUAAAAUCUGUAGGGGGCAUUUAUGGAGAAAGUGUGACUGCUCAGAUUACUCUUCUAGGCAGGAGUUCCUUCAGGCAGCUUUGGUUUUGGCUUUCCAGUUCUCAAAAGAAGUUUAAGACAUGAACUUCUAUGUUGAAAAGCAUUAGAAUAAAUUACCUUGAAGGCCUGGAAGAAGCUGUUAUUUUUUAAGAUAUUGGAUUAUAGAUAAUGAAAAUAAAUAGAUUCAUUAAAAUAUUUCCAUGCUACUUUAUGUAAUGCUGAUCUCAUCCUAUAGCUUUUGUUUCUUUGUACCUUGCUGUUUUCUAAUUUUAAAGAAUAAGGAUUAGAGAGCUCUACAUAUUCUCUUUAUGCCCACACAUUAAAUUUAUUCUCUCUGUAUUUAGAAAUAUAUUUCUAAACAUAGAAAUGUAAAUAUUGUGCUGAGUCAGAUCUUCUGACUAUAUUCAUGAAUCGUAGGAUCAUAGAAUCAUUUCAAUUGGAAGGAUCCCUUUACGGUCACCUAGUCCAACUCCCUUCAAUGAACAGGGAUACCUACAGCUACAUCUGGGUCCUCAGAGCCCAACCAGCCUGACCUCGAGUGUCUCCAGGGAUGGGGCAUCCAUCACCUCUCUGGGCAACCUGUGCCAGUGCUUCACCAAUAUUAUAAAAAACUUCUCCCUUACAUCCAAACUAAACCUCCUGUCUUUUAGUUUGAAACCAUUUCUCCUUGUCCUAUAACCACAGACCCUGCUAAAGAGUCUGUCCCCUUUCUUCUUAUAGCCUCCCUUUAGAUACUGAAAGGAAAUGUGACUUCAGGUGAUGCAGAACCCUGUUGCUGAGGUUAGGAUACCACUUCAGCACAGUGAGAGUCCUUUGCAGGAAAUGCCAAUGUCUGCAAUCUCACAGAUUACUUCCACAUUCCUCUAGAAUGUUUUCAGUAACAUUACUUAUUUAACGCUGUAAGUUUUGGCUGCUGCCUCACCUUUUCUCAGCAGCUCCUGGGCCACCAAUGUCAAUAACAGGUUUGAAAAAAGAUGAAGGGCUCUAGCAGUUCAGCCUGCAGUAGCUAAAUAUAAUUUUCCCAUCAGUUCUUUCCUAUUGCCUAUUUCCUACUGCAUCUCAUGCUGGGGAAGAAGUGAAGCAGGGUGAGAAAGUCACAGUGCCUGUGGAGGAGUGGGGUUGGCCUUUACUCCUCACUUCUGCAGCAGGAGAAAAAAAUCUGUCCCCAGAGGCAUCAUAUAUCCCUGGAUUUCCCGCCCCCACCCCCCCCCCUCCAACAGUUAUAAAUUGUCAGUAACUCAUGUGAGACUCUAAAAGCUUCUAUUGCUAUAACACCUAUGACCUAUGAUUCAGAGCAUCAUAAGUGAUGGCUCUGUAGCCUGAAAAAAUAUGGAGAAAAAGUACUGAGAAGCAAAAAGAGAUCUCUCAUGUUGCACAUUUUUGACACUUUCCUCCUAUGGCAAUGAGAUUUUUCUUAAGGAUUCUUUUUAUUGACUUGGCUUUAUCAUAGUGCAUGACAGCAUCUAUCCAGUGAGAGAUGACUUAACCUUUCUCCUCAAGUACUGAACCAGUCAGGUCCAGCCAGUCACAACAGGAUGCCAAAGACCUGACCUGAUGCUACACUCUUGAAGACCCACUUUAAAGACAUGUUUUCUUGAUAAAUUAGAAGUCAUUAUAAUUGUUUUACAGUUAAAUGUGAGUAGUUUAAAUGCCUCAGGGCUUCAUUUUGUCUUACUAGCUAGAAUUUUGUCCUGCAGCUUUGCCAAUAUGUCUGCACACUCUUUAGAAUUAAUCCUGGAUCUCCCUCCUUCCAUCCUACUGUAUUUCCAACUUCACAGAGUCUAUUUGUUUGGGACUUAUUUUCUAAGCCAUUAUUUUUCCUCUUACAUUAGUGUCUUGAAAUGGAACUACUCCACUGUUUUAAUCUACUACUUCUCUGAGUGCAAUAUGACUGCUUCAGUCCUUACUUCUCUGAUAAAUCUGCUGAGCAUUCAUUCAGGAAAGCUGUGUCCUUCUGCAAGGCGACCUACCACUGUUAUCUGACUUUUUAUCUGAAGGCAGUUUCUCAGCCAGUUUACAUUUUCCUGGUGUCAGUCAUGCACUUUGAGGGAAGGUUCUCUGAUAUCAGCCUGAUAUCAAAUCCCCUCUGCGUGAGAUAGUUCACAGGACCAUUGCACAGCAUGCUGAGAACUCUUCUGUAUCAUGAUGAGUGUUAUCAGCAUACCUCAAACUUGAUCAGCAGAAUGUAUUCUAGCAAACUAUUUAGUUGAUGCUUAUAGCCAUGCACUGCAAAGUACACAUCUGGAUCCACAGUCUCAAAGACAUGAAGCAGGUUACGGCAAUUCAGUCACAAAUGUAAGUGACAGGGGUGUUUGCAGACACAAGGAGGGUAAGGGUAAUGUAUACAACAUUGGCUUUCUGCCAUAAAUUUACAUAACUGCUUGGGAAUUAACCUGUCAAGACUCCUGGAUUCCCUCCCUGGUCAUGGGAGGCACAACUGGUGGAAGAUGCUCAGGUUGGGCUCAGCCUUGCACAACUUGCGGAAUAUGUCACAUUCUAACUGCACUUUUGAGACACUCAUUGGCAUAAUCCCAGGGACAAGAACAC